rnacentral:rRNA from 1 species
AGAGUUUGAUCAUGGCUCAGGAUGAACGCUAGCGGCAGGCUUAACACAUGCAAGUCGAGGGGUAUAAGUCUUCGGAUUUAGAGACCGGCGCACGGGUGCGUAACGCGUAUGCAAUCUACCUUUUACAGAGGGAUAGCCCAGAGAAAUUUGGAUUAAUACCUCAUAGUAUAUAGAGUUGGCAUCAACACUAUAUUAAAGUCACAACGGUAAAAGAUGAGCAUGCGUCCCAUUAGCUUGUUGGUAAGGUAACGGCUUACCAAGGCUACGAUGGGUAGGGGUCCUGAGAGGGAGAUCCCCCACACCGGUACUGAGACACGGACCAGACUCCUACGGGAGGCAGCAGUGAGGAAUAUUGGUCAAUGGACGCAAGUCUGAACCAGCCAUGCCGCGUGCAGGAUGACGGUCCUAUGGAUUGUAAACUGCUUUUGCACAGGAAGAAACAACUCUACGUGUAGAGUCUUGACGGUACUGUGAGAAUAAGGAUCGGCUAACUCCGUGCCAGCAGCCGCGGUAAUACGGAGGAUCCAAGCGUUAUCCGGAAUCAUUGGGUUUAAAGGGUCCGUAGGCGGUUUAGUAAGUCAGUGGUGAAAGCCCAUCGCUCAACGGUGGAACGGCCAUUGAUACUGCUAAACUUGAAUUAUUAGGAAGUAACUAGAAUAUGUAGUGUAGCGGUGAAAUGCUUAGAGAUUACAUGGAAUACCAAUUGCGAAGGCAGGUUACUACUAAUGGAUUGACGCCGAUGGACGAAAGCGUGGGUAGCGAACAGGAUUGGAUACCCUGGUAGUCCACGCCGUAAACGAUGGAUACUAGCUGUUGGAAGCAAUUUCAGUGGCUAAGCGAAAGUGAUAAGUAUCCCACCUGGGGAGUACGUUCGCAAGAAUGAAACUCAAAGGAAUUGACGGGGGCCCGCACAAGCGGUGGAGCAUGUGGUUUAAUUCGAUGAUACGCGAGGAACCUUACCAAGGCUUAAAUGUAGAUUGACCGGUUUGGAAACAGACUUUUCGCAAGACAAUUUACAAGGUGCUGCAUGGUUGUCGUCAGCUCGUGCCGUGAGGUGUCAGGUUAAGUCCUAUAACGAGCGCAACCCCUGUUGUUAGUUGCCAGCGAGUCAUGUCGGGAACUCUAACAAGACUGCCAGUGUAAACUGUGAGGAAGGUGGGGAUGACGUCAAAUCAUCACGGCCCUUACGCCUUGGGCUACACACGUGCUACAAUGGCCGGUACAGAGAGCAGCCACUGGGCGACCAGGAGCGAAUCUACAAAACCGGUCACAGUUCGGAUCGGAGUCUGCAACUCGACUCCGUGAAGCUGGAAUCGCUAGUAAUCGGAUAUCAGCCAUGAUCCGGUGAAUACGUUCCCGGGCCUUGUACACACCGCCCGUCAAGCCAUGGAAGCUGGGGGUGCCUGAAGUCGGUGACCGCAAGGAGCUGCCUAGGGUAAAACUGGUAACUAGGGCUAAGUCGUAACAAGGUA